AUUGAACGCUGGCGGCAUGCUUUACACAUGCAAGUCGAACGGUAACAGGUUAAGCUGACGAGUGGCGAACGGGUGAGUAAUGUAUCGGAACGUGCCCAGUCGUGGGGGAUAACGUAGCGAAAGCUACGCUAAUACCGCAUACGAUCUCUGGAUGAAAGCGGGGGACCGCAAGGCCUCGCGCGACUGGAGCGGCCGAUAUCAGAGUAGGUAGUUGGUGGGGCAAAGGCCCACCAAGCCAACGAUCUGUAGCUGGUCUGAGAGGACGACCAGCCACACUGGGACUGAGACACGGCCCAGACUCCUACGGGAGGCAGCAGUGGGGAAUUUUGGACAAUGGGGGCAACCCUGAUCCAGCAAUGCCGCGUGCAGGAAGAAGGCCUUCGGGUUGUAAACUGCUUUUGUACGGAACGAAGAGGCUCUGGUUAAUACCUGGGGCUCAUGACGGUACCGUAAGAAUAAGCACCGGCUAACUACGUGCCAGCAGCCGCAGUAA
rnacentral:rRNA from 1 species